rnacentral:rRNA from 1 species
CAGCCGUAAACAAUGUGCGUUAGGUGUGUCGGUAACCACGUGUUACUGAUGCGCCGAAGAGAAAUCGUGAAACGCACCACCUGGGAAGUACGGUCGCAAGGCUGAAACUUAAAGGAAUUGGCGGGGGAGGCACCACAACAGGUGGAGCCUGCGGUUUAAUUUGGAUUCAACGCCGGACAUCUCACCGGAUAAGACAGCUGAAUGAUUGUCAAUCUGAAGGUUUUACAUGACUAGCUGAGAGGAGGUGCAUGGC